CUUUAUCCUUUCUUUUAAUUUUUCCAUUCUUACUCCCUUUUAUAUGCUUAUGUGUUUAAUUUGUGUAGCUUAGUUUAUGCCUUAUGGGUUUUAUGUGCUUUAUUUAUAUAAUUUCGUGUUAAUUAAUGUUAGUUUAGUCUAGAUUAGUUGGUUUAGUUAGUUUAUGCCUUGUGUUCUUUAUGUAUAUUAGUUAGUUUACAUCUUCUUAACAUUAUAUAGUGUAAUUUAGCAUUCAUGUAGUUAUCUGCUCAGUUCAUAGUUUGUUUAGUACUUUGAAUUUGGUUUUAAUAUGUAGUUUUGUUCAGUGGAGCUCUGAUUAGUCACGUUUAUGUUGGGUCUAAGUUCAUAUUUUCAUAGGUUCGUUUAGAUUCCGGUUCAAAGUGUUAAUAAAAUGGAUAAGUUCAUACUUAGUCUAAUCAUGUGUGUAGUUCAUUAGUCUGUCCAAUUUUAAAAAAUGUCAUAGGAUCCUGUCUCUAUAUCAUGUUAAACUGGUUUAGCUAAGUCACAUGUUUGAUUGAUAAAUGAUUUAUAGUUUAUAAAGUCUGAAGGUCACUGGUGUGCCAAAAUGUAUUACUAAUGAUGAGAUAGUCUUGAAACACAAGCUGAAAUACAAAGGGGAUAUAAGCCUAUUACUUUGAUUUGAGCACUUGGAAAUGUCAUGCUGAUGCACUAAGGCCACCUGGACAUAUUUGGAUGGCAUAAAAGAUAUGAUUUUUUUUGUAAAGUUUUGCUCAAACCUUUUGAGAAGAACUUGAUUGAAACCUGUCCCUUCCCCCUUAGCCCCACUUUCAAAGAUUUUGGAUGUUAAAAGCCUACGUCUUGACUUUUUUUUUUUUUUUGUCUAGAUUUUUCCAACUCCUGUGUAUUGUCCAAAUCCGUCCAAAUAAACCUUUUCCCAUACAUGUAUGUGUGUUAUGCUCCCCUUUGACAUUCCUCCCAUUUCUUUUUUUUUUUUACUGAUCUCUUAGAACUGUACCAUCCCUAGCCCUAUUCCCUCAUUCUUUGCUGAAUUGUUAGGAUUAUGAGUAUUAUUAAGGCCUAGGAUGAUUCAUGGAUACCCUGUCUAACUGUUCUUGUACCUAUAAGUAUAAUCUUUAGGCUGGCACAAAUCUGAAAGCAUGUUCCUAAAUCUGGCUGCAUAUGUUUAUUUCUUGUUAGUCUGUAUUUUGUCUACAUGGUUUAAAUGCGCUAAGUCUUCAAUUGUUCAGGCUACUCAAUUUGGAUAAGAAAUGAACUUGUUGUGCAAAUGAUCAUCUGAAAAGCUUAGGGAGUUUAUGAGUCUUGAUCCCUUUUCCCAAACACCACAUGUCUUGGCCUUGUUUUGCCUUUUCUGAACUCUUCCUUACUCUGUUGAGAAAAUCUGAAGUGAACCUGUUGUUGACUAUCAUGGCUCUUUACCCCCUUUUCUUUUACUUUGAGAUCAAGUCUUGUGCAGUCUUAAAUUGGAAUUCUCCACCAUGCACAAUCCACAUCCCCUUCCCCUUUUGAUUGAACUUGUGCAUGAACUGUGUUGGCAAUUUAAUGCUGUUAAGUUUGUUAAGAUGUCUUGAAGAAGAAUCAUGUGAAAAUCCCUUCCCACUCCCCAUGCCUACUGCUAAUACGUGUGCUAUACACUGAGGAUAUACAAGGUAUGCAAGACUUGUAUACAUCAUGGUGUAUACAAGGUGUAUAUUUUGUAUAUCAUGCGAUAUAAAUUCCUAAAUGCUGCUCUUGUAUGUUUUAAAUGGGGUUUGGGGCGAGUCCAUUCUUUAAUGUUAUUUUUCUGUGGAUUGCCAAUAAGGAUGGCAAUGGGGCCGUGGGGGUGCGGGGCGGGGCGGGGCGGGUUUAGGCAUGUGCGAGUAUGCGUGGGUGCGGGUCGGGUCAAAAUUCUUAAAAAAUAAUUUUGUGCGGGGCGGGUGUAGGUGCGGGUUAGGGCUUUUAAAAUAUUUACAAAAUCAUAACUACUGACUACGACUUAUUUUUUCUUCCUCUCUAACAGAGUAACAACGACUAAUUUCUAAAACCCUAAAACAUAUUCCAUCUGUGCUAAUUUCUCUCUAAAGGUAAAUGUAUAAACCUCCCUGCCUCUCUCGUCUCUGCUGAUUUCUUGUUUUUGUUCUCUUUAUUUGACUUGAAUAUUGAUAAAUUUUAGGUAUUUGUGACUUGGGUCUCUUUUAUUUCAUUUAAAUUCUUCAAAAAAUUAUCCUUGUCUACAACCAAAAACACUAUACAGUUCCCAUUGAGGCUCACUAAUUGAGAAAUUGAAUAUCCAUGUAUGUUUACUUGUUGUAACUAAUUUAUGUUAGCAAUUUUGUUUCUGUAUUUGUACUUAUAGAUAAGCAUGGAAUCUCAGAAUGAAGAAAAUCCGGAUGGUUCAUCUUCUAGUACUCUUCCUGUGCCAAUUGAGGGUGAGAGCCAAAGGUCUUCUCAAAUUAUUGAAUUUACUUAAGCUGAAAAAAGAAAAUUGAAGUCUAAAUCAUGGGGACAUUUUAAACCAGUAAGCAUUAAUGGUGUUCGCUAUGGUGUUUGUAAUUACUGUAAUGCUCGUAUCAAAGCAAAUAGAAAAUGCGGACAUCGUCUAUGUCAGAACAUUUUCGUAGAUGUCCUAAUAAGCCAAGAAAUUUGGAAAACGAUAGUGGUUCAGGGGGUGAUGAUAGUAGCCAACAUUAUUUCGAUCAAGAUGUUUCACGUAGAGAACUUGCUCCCGCCAUUAUUUUGCAUGAAUAUCCCCCGUCUAUUGUUGAUCAUGUAGGAUUUAGAAAGUUUGUUGCUAAUCUUCAGCCAUUGUUCAAAAUGGUGUCAAGGAACACAAUCAAGAAGGAUAUUUUGAAGAUUUUUGACAAUUUGAAAUAAAAACUUCUAACUUAUUGGAAAAACUCACAAGUAGAAUUGCAAUUACUACUGAUAUGUGGACUUCGAGCAAUAACAAAAAAGGAUUCAUGGCUAUUACAGCGCAUUUUAUUGAUGAUUCACGGAGGCUUCAAAGCCAUAUUCUUAGAUUUGUUGGUCUUGUUGAGGUUGAUCGUCUGUCUAGCUUUGAUAGAUUUGUCGCUUCGAGUAAGGCUAAUGUGGACACAAGAUCGGAGCUAGAUUUGUGUUUAGAAGAAAGUUUGUUACCUCGAAUUCCAUCGUUCGACAAUUUAAGUUGGUGGAAGACAAACGGAUUAAAAUUUCCUACUUUGCAGAAGAUGGCUCGUGACCUCUAAGCCAUUGGCUCCUGACGUCUUAGCCAUUCCUGUCUCUACCGUUGCUUUAGAAUCGGCAUUUAGCACUAGUGGGAGGUUGAUUAGUUCGCAUCGUAGUAGACUUCAUCCUACUACUUUAGAGGUUUUGAUGUGUGCUCGCACUUGGUUAUGGAACGAAAUAAAUGGUUUGACUUCAACGAUCAACAAAGUUUCAUGCCCAACAUUACUUGAAAAAGAGGAAGAGCCGGAUUCAAGUGGACUUACCGGUCUAUAGCUAUAGAGCAGCCUCAUCAGAACUUCCCCAUGGGGGAUUCAAGUGUUUUUAUUUUGUUUCAGUAGUUGCUUUUCGAACAAUAAUUUUAGAUACUGCUCUAAGUUGUUGAAUUCUGUUUUAUGUUGUUCAAAUAAUCAAUGUCAUUUGCUGGUUCCAAAUUCUCUUGGCAUUGGACCCUAUCUCUAUGACCAAUAGUCCAUUUGAAUGGUCU